UUAGGCAUCCAUUUUAUCUGAAGACUGCUGAGUUGACACAUUUCUCCAAAACACCUCAGCUUAGUACAGUGCUUACAGGUAUCUGUGCUCACUGAGCUAGGCACAGUGGCUAGGCUUGGAGCUGUAGAAAGGCUCUAUAAGCCAGACGCCUGGGGCUGAUACCACACCCCUAAUCCAUCUAUCCAGACAUAUACAUACUCAUCACCAUCACCAUCACCAUCGAUUUUCAGGUCUGCUCUCCCUUACCCUGGGGGUAGAGGAUGUGUCCUGGUGACUGAGGGACUAAGGAUUUUCCUGUACAGUGAGCUCAUUAUUAGAACAGCAAACUUUCCUUGCAGACAUCCUAGUGUUUGGCCCUCCUACUGGACUGGGCUGACCCUGUGCUCCAAAGCCUCCCACCAUCUAAGAUCCUCUACCGUCCUCUGGCAUGGCUGAGCCACGGGCGGCAGAACUUGUGGGAACGAGGGAAGUAUGGUUCACUGGCCUGGUGAGAGCUGGUGAGGGUGCAGAACAGCCUCUGGGGUCUCUGCAAAGCCAUAGUGCCCAAAGGAGAAGGCUGAAGGGACACUGGUACAAACUCAGUAAGGCUCUGUCCUGAUACUUGAACCCUCUAGGGUUCUGUUCCUUAUAACUGACCCCUUGGUAACCUCUUAUCCUUUCUUCUUCUCCCAAGGUCACCGACAAUGAGGGUGCAGCUGCUGUCCUGGAACUUCUGACUUCUGUCCCAGGGACCCACGUGUCUCUGGCUGGCUGUGUGCAGAAACAUGCUGGGCACAGUGGCUGGCCUGCCUCCAGAGGAGCAGGUGUGCAUGAGGAGGGACCCAGCUUAGGGCACCUGGCUCCUCUCGGCUGAAUGUAUCUGUUCAGGCUUCAGCGUUCCUAGCCGAGAAGUGUCCUGGAGCUUGGUGACAUGUUUGCUGCUUUGUGUGCUAGAGGCUGCAAAGCUUAGGCAUCCGCAAACAGAAACAGGGCUUUCUGCCCAGCCUGUGAAACUCCUGGUGUGGGUGCUGGGCCUAGCUACAGGGCAUCCUCCUGUGCCUGGCCUCCGUUAUUCAGCACGAGCUGCCCUAUAGGCUUUGAGGAAACCAAAUUGCACGUACUGGGUUCUCCUCCAGCCCUUGGGUAUAGGGUCUCUGUGCACUUGAGCCAGGAACCUAGUCGCAUCUCUUCCACAUUCCACUCAAAGCAUGGGUCCCUGGCUCCCAGCCCCAGCCUGCAAGGCCGCCUUGGUCUGAGAUGCUGCUAUGUCACCAGGACUGGGAAGGGGAGAAGGAAGGCAGAAGUGAAAACAGACCCCAGGUUAGGAGAUACCGUCUCUGCCCUGUGAGGCCACAUUCCUUUCCCCUCUGUCACUUCCGAGACCAAAAAGAAAACAGAAAGAAAAGAAAACUGUCUCUGCUCCUUUGUCUAAGCAUGGAAAGAAAUAAACAGGAGUCCGUGUUGAGGCUCUUGCCUGAAUAGUUCAAAGCUGCACCUGCCUGACCUGUAGAGAGGUGACAAUCCUCUAAUGGGGUGGAGAAGGGCCCUGGCCCUCCCUGUCAAGGUGGCACUGUGCCAGUGGUAUUGCUCACUCAGGGUCACCUGACAGGAUACAAGUCUGAAGCUAGGCCACUCUUUGCUCUAGGCAGUAGUUUCAGUCUCCUGCCUCAGGGCUUACUCUGGUUUUCCAGUCUACCCUAAACCCCUCACUCAGGCAGAGGCUCAGACCUGAACAGUUUGUUUCCUCCAAUGGAGCCUCCUGUGUCUGUUUUCUCCCAUGGCUCAAUUAGAGCUAAGGGAUGGAUGCCCUGAUGGUGGUAGUGGCUUUUCUUGUUCCUGAUUUUGAUGGAAAAUACUCUUGGGUUUUGAGGGUGCCAUAGCCCUCAGGAGGAACCUGUGGGCAAUACGAGAGCCUUGGUGCCUCUGAGGCUUCUCCAGGCUCAGGAAGGAGGGGUUUGGUGUGGAUCCAUCACUGACUAGCCCAGCGGCUGCUCUAAUGGUGUCCUGUGGACCUGGAUCUGAGAUUUGGAGGUGGUGGGAUGUUCUCCCAACUUUUUAUUUUUUUGAGACAGGGUUUCUCUGUGUAAUAGCCCUGGCUGUCCUGGAACUCUUUUUGUAGACCAAGCUGGCCUUGGAUUCGCAGAGAUCCGGCUCCCUCGGCCUCCCCAGUGUUCUGGGAUUAAACGUUUGCACUACCACACCCUGCUUCUCUCAACUUUUUGUAGCAGCAAAGCCUUCUUCACAUUGAAGCUUUCCAGGAAGAUGUGACAUCAGACAGUGUCUGCACGUCCCUAAACACAUACCAUCUCUCCAUUUUCAGGGUCUCUCCCAACCACCCUGGAGGCCCUUGUGUCAGGAGGGAUGUGUCUUGGUGAAUGGAAGCUCUGGGCACCCUUGUGCCUGCUGUCAGCUCAUGGCUAGAGCAACAGAUGCCCCUCCCCGCAGUACCCCAGUGUCUGGCCCUGAGAACCUUUGAAGAUACACAGGUGGAAGUAGGAACCUUGGAUGAGAGGGGGCUUUGGAGAAGUAAGAACAUCCAGCCUUGCCUUUGUGCCCCCAACACCCCUGUUCUGGGGGCUGGGAGAGGAAGAUGGAGGAGCCACUCAGAACCGUUUCCUGGGUGUGUCCUCCCCUACCUCUGUCCUUCAAUCAGGCAAGACUGAGUUUUGGCCCUGGAGUCACAGAGUGGUUAUCUUCUGCCAGGGCCUGAGUUGCUGCCCUGCCUUUCAGGGGCUCCCCAGGAAAGACUGAGCUAGGGGAGUUUAUGCUUUUAAUCGGCUUGAGCCAAGUGGACCCUGCCACCUGCGGCCUGGGACAGAGCUUUCCAUCUUCAGGAGGCCUGCUCUGCUGGGCAGAAGGGUAGAGAUGUAUCUUAUUCUGAAACAAACAGAACCUAGUAGACUGGACUUCUGGGCUUUGCCUGCGGGAUGCAUUAUGUAUCUUCAAGAGCAUUGGGCCAGGGCCAGAGGGGAUAGGCAGAGGCAGAAGGAUCUUAUAGUGAGGUCCUAGCCAUCUAGGGCUACAUACAUAGUGAAAUCUUGUCUCCAAAUAAAUAAAUAGGCCAGCAAAGGCCACUGGCACUUGUCCCAGGCUUUAUUGAAGACUGAAGGAGCAGGCCAGCAUGAUGUGUGAGCUCUGUACCCUGCUGACCCCCAGCAGCAGCUCAGAGUGGGCUGGCCCUGCCCUCUGCCCAUAACUAUUCACGCCACCCACAUUGCUGAACCAUGGGCCUACCUGAGGCCAGUAGAGCCUGAGGAAGGAAAGACCAGUUUCUUCACCAAAGAAGAAAUGAGCUCCCUACGCAUUCUGGCUCCAGGCCUCCUGUUUUAGCCCACACUGUUGAGAAGGCACCGUUCUGGGGCUCAGUGUCUCUCCCAGGAGAGCUUAGUCCCAGAAGCACCUUCCACUGGGCAGCUCUCGGCCACAUACCACUUUUAGUAGUGCAGAGCUUCUGACAGGACUUUAGGCCAGUGACGGUGACAUGGACUGGUGUCUGUGAAAACGUGAGUUCUACAUCAGAGCCGUGUGAACGGAACUCUCAGAACCUUGGUUCUGGGUCUCAGAUGUUGUCCGCCCACAUGCACAGAAGGCUCUGUAAGCAAGCAAGCUGUCUACUGGGUCUCCGAGUGGUCAGCCUCGGGCAUCUUAUGCUAGAGAACUGAGGCUGCAGUGACAAAUUGUUCUCCAGGGGUUGGCGGGGAGGGGAGUCUCCAAGAAUACUUCACCCUGUGUAGUUGUCAAGGGACCUAUGCCUGACCGUGAAAGGUGACGUCCUGGUGUCAGGGUUAUUGCUAUCAUGCAACACCAUGGCCAAAAGCAAGUUGGGGAGGAAAGGAUUUAUUUGGCUUACACCUCCACAUCUCCACAUCUCCACACGUAGUCCUGAAGGAAGUCAGGGCAGGAACUCAGAACAGGACAGGAACAUGGAGGCAGGAGCUGAUGUAGAGAGGAGGUGCUGCUUAAUGGCUUGCUCCCUCUGGAUUGCUCAGCCUUCUUAUUUAUUUUUAUUAUAUUUUUAAAUUAUCUAAACUUUAAAGUAUUUAACUUUAAAUAUAUUUUGAUCAUAUUCUUCCCCUCUCCCCAUGUUCUUCCAGAUCCUCUCCCCAUCCUUACACACCCAACUUUC
rnacentral:lncRNA from 1 species